CUUCGGCGCAGGGAACUCCCCCUCUCUCCCUCCGACAGACCCCAACACCUGGCUGCUGACGGAUUGCAGCGAGCGGAGUCGGAGAUUGAUGAUCAUUUGUACCGCGGUACGAACUGAAGAAAGAAAUUGAAAAUAACCGGUGCUGCCUUCCCCGCGUCUCUUCCUAGGGAAAGAACGCCGCCUGUUAAUUGAAGCUCGCAUGGAAAAGAAAACGGUUUUCACAGUAAAAUGCUCUUUUGAGAGAAAAGUUCAUUUUCCUCCGGAAAGGGGCAGAGAUGUGAGGGAGCCUCAGCCUGCCCGCUUCGUGCCCACCAACUCGACUGAAGAGGGGAAAAAAAGAUUAAAAAAAUAACAAUAAAAAAAA